rnacentral:rRNA from 1 species
GACCCCUACGGGAGGCAGCAGUAGGGAAUCUUCCACAAUGGACGAAAGUCUGAUGGAGCAACGCCGCGUGAGUGAAGAAGGGUCUCGGCUCGUAAAGCUCUGUUGGUAGUGAAAAAAGAUAGAGGUAGUAACUGGCCUUUAUUUGACGGUAAUUACUUAGAAAGUCACGGCUAACUACCUGCCAGCAGCUGCGGUAAUACGUAGGUGGCAAGCGUUGUCCGGAUUUUUUGGGC